GGAAGGAUCAUUGACGAUUGGGAAGGAAGGAGAGUGAAUAGCCGGUGGGUUUUCUUGAAGGAUUUGUAAGAAAACCCCUCCGGAAGAAUAAACUAAUGAUGGAUUAAGAUUAAAAUACAACUUUUAACAAUGGAUCUCUUGGCUCUUGCAUCGAUGAAGAACGCAGUGAAACGCGAUAGCUGAUGCGAAUUGCAUAUAUCUGUGAGUCAUCGAGUCUUUGAACGCAACUUGCACUUGGCUUCGUGCCGAGUAUGGCUGUAAGAGCGCGGGAAUGGCAUGAUGAAAGGAUAAUUCAGAUGGAUUAUUCGUUUAUUGAUUGAAGAAAAGACUAUUUUCUUUGAAAAGCAACCCGCAAAGGGAUCGAGGAGUAGGGAGAAGUAGGUUAGGUUUAGGAUUAUGCUUAAGCUUAAUGUACAGCCAAUACUCGAACCCGAGGGAAAGUGUGGAGUGGGAAUGUGCACAUGAACCCCCCCCACACACUUACUGCUCCGCCUCUUAUCAGGCAAGACUACCCGCUGAACUUAAGCAUAUCAGUAAGCGGAGGACAAGAAACUAACCAGGAUUCCCUCAGUAACGGCGAGUGAAGCGGGAAAAGCUCAAAUUUAAAAUCGCGGCUCUUGGAGUCGUGAAUUGUAGUUUAAAGAAUAAUAGGCGAGAGAGAAAAUCGAGCCAAGUCCGCUGGAACGCGGCACUGUAAAGGGUGAUAGUCCCGUUGGCAUGAUUUGAACUCAUUGUGCUUGUUGUUCAAAGAGUCGUGUUGAUUGGGAUUUCAGCACAAAUGGGAGGUAAAUUUCUUCCAAGGCUAAAUAUUGGCAAGAGACCGAUAGCAAACAAGUACCGUGAGGGAAAGAUGAAAAGAACUCUGAAAAGAGAGUUAAAAGUACGUGAAAUUGUUAAAAGGGAAACGAUUAAUGAGGGCGAGAUUAAUAUUACUCAAAGAUCGAUUGGUCAAGUAUUUAAUAUUAAUAGACGACGACUGUGUUUGUAAUAGGAAAAGGCUCAUUGGAAGGUACCAACUUGUUGGGUUAAGACAAUGGGAGAUACUAUUAUGUGUACAGGGAUUAAGAAGGAGUAUAAGAGUAGUGAAUGGAUUGGGAUAUUUCUUAAGGGUAUAUCUUGAAAGAAUUGAACCUCUGGUACACCCGUCUAGUCGUUAGCAAUCAUUAAUCGACCCGUCUUGAAACACGGACCAAGGAGUCUAACAUUCGUGCGAGUCUUUGGGCUUUACACCUUUAGGCGAAGCGAAAGCGAUUCGUUGGAGGCGCUUGACGUCGCACAACGGCCCACAUUAGCAGAUGCUAGUGUGAGGCAGCACGGCUGUUGGGACCCGAAAGAUGGUGAACUAUGCCUGAAUAGGGUCAAGUCAGAGGAAACUCUGAUGGAGGCUCGUAGCGGUUCUGACGUGCAAAUCGAUCGUCGAAUUUGGGUAUAGGGGCGAAAGACUAAUCGAACCAUCUAGUAGCUGGUUCCCUC
rnacentral:misc_RNA from 1 species